rnacentral:rRNA from 1 species
GGGUUGUGAGGUUAAGCGACUAAGCGUACACGGUGGAUGCCCUGGCAGUCAGAGGCGAUGAAGGACGUGCUAAUCUGCGAAAAGCGUCGGUAAGGUGAUAUGAACCGUUAUAACCGGCGAUGUCCGAAUGGGGAAACCCAGUGCAAUUCGUUGCACUAUCGUUAACUGAAUACAUAGGUUAACGAGGCGAACCGGGGGAACUGAAACAUCUAAGUACCCCGAGGAAAAGAAAUCAACCGAGAUUCCCCCAGUAGCGGCGAGCGAACGGGGAGCAGCCCAGAGUCUGAAUCAGCUUGUGUGUUAGUGGAACGGUCUGGAAAGUCCGACGGUACAGGGUGAUAGUCCCGUACACCAAAAUGCACAGGUUGUGAACUCGAAGAGUAGGGCGGGACACGUGGUAUCCUGUCUGAAUAUGGGGGGACCAUCCUCCAAGGCUAAAUACUCCUGACUGACCGAUAGUGAACCAGUACCGUGAGGGAAAGGCGAAAAGAACCCCGGCGAGGGGAGUGAAAAA